CGUUAAUCGGAAUUACUGGGCGUAAAGCGCGCGUAGGCGGCUUUGCAAGUCGGGUGUGAAAUCCCCAGGCUUAACCUGGGAACUGCAUUCGAGACUGCAUUGCUAGAGUAUGGGAGAGGGAAGUGGAAUUUCCGGUGUAGCGGUGAAAUGCGUAGAUAUCGGAAGGAACAUCAGUGGCGAAAGCGACUUCCUGGACCAAUACUGACGCUCAUGUGCGAAAGCGUGGGGAGCAAACGGG
rnacentral:rRNA from 1 species